rnacentral:rRNA from 1 species
GACGUGCUAAUCUGCGAUAAGCGUCGGUAAGGUGAUAUGAACCGUUAUAACCGGCGAUUUCCGAAUGGGGAAACCCAGUGUGAUUCGUCACACUAUCAUUAACUGAAUCCAUAGGUUAAUGAGGCGAACCGGGGGAACUGAAACAUCUAAGUACCCCGAGGAAAAGAAAUCAACCGAGAUUCCCCCAGUAGCGGCGAGCGAACGGGGAGCAGCCCAGAGCCUGAAUCAGUGUGUGUGUUAGUGGAAGCGUCUGGAAAGGCGUGCGAUACAGGGUGACAGCCCCGUACACAAAAAUGCACAUACUGUGAGCUCGAUGAGUAGGGCGGGACACGUGGUAUCCUGUCUGAAUAUGGGGGGACCAUCCUCCAAGGCUAAAUACUCCUGACUGACCGAUAGUGAACCAGUACCGUGAGGGAAAGGCGAAAAGAACCCCGGCGAGGGGAGUGAAAAAGAACCUGAAACCGUGUACGUACAAGCAGUGGGAGCACGCUUAGGCGUGUGACUGCGUACCUUUUGUAUAAUGGGUCAGCGACUUAUAUUCUGUAGCAAGGUUAACCGAAUAGGGGAGCCGAAGGGAAACCGAGUCUUAACUGGGCGUUAAGUUGCAGGGUAUAGACCCGAAACCCGGUGAUCUAGCCAUGGGCAGGUUGAAGGUUGGGUAACACUAACUGGAGGACCGAACCGACUAAUGUUGAAAAAUUAGCGGAUGACUUGUGGCUGGGGGUGAAAGGCCAAUCAAACCGGGAGAUAGCUGGUUCUCCCCGAAAGCUAUUUAGGUAGCGCCUCGUGAAUUCAUCUCCGGGGGUAGAGCACUGUUUCGGCAAGGGGGUCAUCCCGACUUACCAACCCGAUGCAAACUGCGAAUACCGGAGAAUGUUAUCACGGGAGACACACGGCGGGUGCUAACGUCCGUCGUGAAGAGGGAAACAACCCAGACCGCCAGCUAAGGUCCCAAAGUCAUGGUUAAGUGGGAAACGAUGUGGGAAGGCCCAGACAGCCAGGAUGUUGGCUUAGAAGCAGCCAUCAUUUAAAGAAAGCGUAAUAGCUCACUGGUCGAGUCGGCCUGCGCGGAAGAUGUAACGGGGCUAAACCAUGCACCGAAGCUGCGGCAGCGACGCUUAUGCGUUGUUGGGUAGGGGAGCGUUCUGUAAGCCUGUGAAGGUGUGCUGUGAGGUAUGCUGGAGGUAUCAGAAGUGCGAAUGCUGACAUAAGUAACGAUAAAGCGGGUGAAAAGCCCGCUCGCCGGAAGACCAAGGGUUCCUGUCCAACGUUAAUCGGGGCAGGGUGAGUCGACCCCUAAGGCGAGGCCGAAAGGCGUAGUCGAUGGGAAACAGGUUAAUAUUCCUGUACUUGGUGUUACUGCGAAGGGGGGACGGAGAAGGCUAUGUUGGCCGGGCGACGGUUGUCCCGGUUUAAGCGUGUAGGCUGGUUUUCCAGGCAAAUCCGGAAAAUCAAGGCCGAGGCGUGAUGACGAGGCACUACGGUGCUGAAGCAACAAAUGCCCUGCUUCCAGGAAAAGCCUCUAAGCAUCAGGUAACAUCAAAUCGUACCCCAAACCGACACAGGUGGUCAGGUAGAGAAUACCAAGGCGCUUGAGAGAACUCGGGUGAAGGAACUAGGCAAAAUGGUGCCGUAACUUCGGGAGAAGGCACGCUGAUACGUAGGUGAAGCGACUUGCUCGUGGAGCUGAAAUCAGUCGAAGAUACCAGCUGGCUGCAACUGUUUAUUAAAAACACAGCACUGUGCAAACACGAAAGUGGACGUAUACGGUGUGACGCCUGCCCGGUGCCGGAAGGUUAAUUGAUGGGGUUAGCGCAAGCGAAGCUCUUGAUCGAAGCCCCGGUAAACGGCGGCCGUAACUAUAACGGUCCUAAGGUAGCGAAAUUCCUUGUCGGGUAAGUUCCGACCUGCACGAAUGGCGUAAUGAUGGCCAGGCUGUCUCCACCCGAGACUCAGUGAAAUUGAACUCGCUGUGAAGAUGCAGUGUACCCGCGGCAAGACGGAAAGACCCCGUGAACCUUUACUAUAGCUUGACACUGAACAUUGAGCCUUGAUGUGUAGGAUAGGUGGGAGGCUUUGAAGUGUGGACGCCAGUCUGCAUGGAGCCGACCUUGAAAUACCACCCUUUAAUGUUUGAUGUUCUAACGUGGACCCGUAAUCC